GUUCGAUGGGAAAGUAAACUGUGAGCAGUUCUGUUUCUAAUACAAUGGAUUAUGGAUUUCAUCUUAAUAAUUUCGUAUAAAGGCUGACGUUACUGUUAUUUUAACAAGAUUCAUUCGAUUGGAUGGAAGACAAUAGAAGGAAGAAUUUCUUUAACGUUGGUUUUACAUUUCCAUAAAAGCACAACGGUUUCAGUUUUAUGGAUGAUGGGAAUAAAUUAGCUCAAGCAUGAAAUCUAAAUUGCUAAAGAAAACAAAUGUUUGUUUGCAGCAUUUCAUUUAUUUCAUUUUAAAAGUGCAAGCAGGUAUGUUAUGACUUCAUGAAAU